rnacentral:rRNA from 1 species
UACAGAGGUCUCAAGCGUUGUUCGGAUUCAUUGGGCGUAAAGGGUGCGUAGGUGGCGUCGUAAGUCGGAGUGUGAAAUUUCGGAGCUUAACUUCCGAAACUGCAUUCGAUACUGCGGUGCUUGAGGACUGGAGAGGAGACUGGAAUUCAUGGUGUAGCAGUGAAAUGCGUAGAGAUCAUGAGGAAGACCAGUGGCGAAGGCGGGUCUCUGGACAGUUCCUGACACUGAGGCACGAAGGCCAGGGGAGCAAACGGG